rnacentral:rRNA from 1 species
AUUGAACGCUGGCGGCAGGCUUAACACAUGCAAGUCGAGCGAGCGGCGGACGGGUGAGUAAUGUCUGGGAAACUGCCUGAUGGAGGGGGAUAACUACUGGAACCGGUAGCUAAUACCGCAUACCAUCAGAUGUGCCCAGAUGGGAUUAGCUAGUAGGUGGGGUAAUGGCUCACCCAGGCGACGAUCCCUAGCUGGUCCGGACGGAUGACCAGCCAAACUGGAACUGAGAAACGGUCCAGACUCCUACGGGAGGCAGAAUAGGGGAAUAUUGCAAAAUGGGCGCAAGCCUACUGCAGCCAUGCCGCGUGUGUGAAGAAGUCCUUCGGGUUGUAAAGCACUUUCAGCGAGGAGGCGUUACUCGCAGAAGAAGCACCGGCUAACUCCGUGCCAGCAGCCGCGGUAAUAC